UUGACCUAUUGUUAAACUUAAUGAUAAGAAUAUUAUCUGUGUCGUGUCAUGUCAAUUUUCAUUUUCGUCAUUUUAAUUUUUAAGCGAGAUGUUAGCGAUUUUAAACACAAUGUUCCACAUACUCGUAUCUAGUUUAAAAAUUAAGAGUACGAAAAAAACGGAUGACACGACGCGAUAUAGAUAAUAUCCUUAUCUUUGAGUCUUGUAAUAAGCAAA